UACGAAGGGGGCUAGCGUUGCUCGGAAUUACUGGGCGUAAAGCGCACGUAGGCGGCUUUCUAAGUCGGGGGUGAAAUCCUGGAGCUCAACUCCAGAACUGCCUUCGAUACUGGAAAGCUCGAGUCCGGGAGAGGUGAGUGGAACUGCGAGUGUAGAGGUGAAAAUUCGUAGAUAUUCGCAAGAACACCAGUGGCGAAGGCGGCUCACUGGCCCGGUACUGACGCUGAGGUGCGAAAGCGUGGGGAGCGAACAGG
rnacentral:rRNA from 1 species